CUUUACUGUAGCCUGGUAUUGGGUUCGGGCUUUGACUGCGCAGGAUAGGUGGGAGGCGUUGAGAUAUUCCUUGUGGGGAAUGUGGAGCCAACGGUGAGAUACCACUCUGGUGAGGCUAGAAUUCUAACCCGAUGCCGUGAACCGGCUCGGGAACAGUUUCAGGCGGGCAGUUUGACUGGGGCGGUCGCCUCCUAAAAGGUAACGGAGGCGCGCAAAGGUUCUCUCAGGCUGGUUGGAAAUCAGCCGUAGAGUGUAAAGGCAUAAGAGAGCUUGACUGCGAGACAAACACGUCGAGCAGGGUGGAAACACGGCCUUAGUGAUCCGACGGCGCUGCGUGGAAGGGCCGUCGCUAAACGGAUAAAAGUUA
rnacentral:rRNA from 1 species